UUGGGCACUCUAAGGUGACUGCCGGCUAAAAGUCGGAGGAAGGUGGGGAUGACGUCAAAUCAUCAUGCCCCUUAUGACCUGGGCUACACACGUGCUACAAUGGGCGGUACAAAGGGUCGCGAACCCGCGAGGGGGAGCCAAUCCCAAAAAGCCGCUCUCAGUUCGGAUUGCAGGCUGCAACUCGCCUGCAUGAAGCCGGAAUCGCUAGUAAUCGCGGAUCAGCAUGCCCGCGGUCGAAUACGUUCCCGGGCCUU
rnacentral:rRNA from 1 species